UUGCCAACAUGACUCAAGCAGGGGCUUGAAACGUGCCUGUGUGAUUGGGCUUCCAUGCUUGUGUUUCAGACUCCGUGAGAAGAACAUGCUUUGACUAGCCACUGGUCCCAAGAAGAGAAUGACACAUACUUGGAGCUCCCUUGAGCCAGCUAGACCUUAGCUCUUCAGCUGUCAGCCCAAUGGAAGAGGUAAAGGAAGCAGGAAGAGGUUUGUGACCGAUUCUGGAUUGAUGACGAGGCCACCGUGAUUCAUACGGCUGUGCAUUUGGCGAAAGACUUCUGGACAGUGGGGCGUUCUAAUGCAACCAGUUUACUGCUCUAGAUUUACUACUCUGUGGCCAGCCAGGUAACCACCAGUGCAAAAUUUGCACAGAGGGUGUUCCGCUUUAUUGAUGGAGGAUCAAGGGAGAGGCAAAGACAGUUGUAAAUGACCAAGAUGAUCAUUUUCAUCCUCAUGAGUGGAAGGAAACUCCUAAGAGGUGCCCAGAGGAUAUAUGUGUCCAAAUGGAAAGUGAUGUUGUACAGCCACCAUGCAAAAUGGUGCAGCUCCUCCAGAAAUAAAACAUUGAAUUACCACAUGAUCCAGGAGUCCCACUUCUUGCCUUUGCCAUGGGGGCAGUAAGCCGCCACAUUAUAAGCUACCCCAUGGAGACCGCCAAUUUGGCAAGAAGCAGAAGGAGGCUUCCAGUGAACAGCCAAUGAGACUUUCAGUCAAGUCACCUCUGAGGACCUGAAUUCUGCCAACAACCAUGUGAAUGAGCUUAGAAGUACACCUUCCCAGGUCAAACCUUGGGAGAGGCCCUAGGACGGAGGAUCCAACCUAACCAUGCCCAGAUUCCUGAUCCACAGAAACUAACUCUCAAGAUAACGGAACGUCUUUACUAGCGACAAGGGAGGAAAGUCUUCAGUAUAAAGGAUUGGGGCACACAACGGAAAACAAAACAAAAUGUUUACUGUUGAUGAAGAUGGCGUCCUGAAUUUUACCUCUCCAGCUCAUUACGCAGGACCAUCGAUGUGAAAAAUGGAGACAGAGUUUUGUUACAGGAGCUGGACUGCCUCAAUGAAGAUGAUGCUUCUACUAUUUUUGAUUGAUGUGUCCUGGACCAUACCUCGCUGUCCUCAGGUUCUUUUGGCCUGGUUUUCAAUGGCUAGUAUUUGAUCAUGAAAAAAAGUAAAUCUCAUGCAAAAGAAACCCUUCGCUCAAAUCUCCCUGAUGCCAUGCUUUAUGGCAUACGUCAUUGUGGGGUACAUCCAAAUGGACCUCCAAGAUGAUAACAAUGACGUCUGUUGGCAAAAUUUACACUGAGAGGAAAACAAUGUCAUCUAUUGACCAGGACCUCAAUCCAUAUGUAUGCAUUUGCCAAGGAGUCCAUAACAAAUGGAACAGGCUGAGGGGCUUAAGCAACAGAAAUGUAUUGUCUCACAGGUCUAGAAGCUGGAAGUCUGAGAUCAAAAUGUUAGCAGGAUUAGUUUCCUCUGAAGCCUCUCUCCUUGGCUUGCAAACGGCCACCUUCUCUUUGCGUCUUCACGUUGUCCUCCCCUCUACGUGUCUGUGCUAAAUCUCCUCUCAUGUUACAUUAGGGGCCAAACUAAUGAUCCCGUUGUGACUUAAUUAACUUCUUUUUAACCAAUUAACCUCUUAAUUAACCUCUUAAUUAACCAAAUAUUGUCAUGAUCUGAGGUACUGGCAGUUAGAACCUCAACGGAUAAACUUUGGUGGAAACGCAACUCAAACAGAUAUAAGCUUAUAACUUCCGGUCUAUCUUAACGGGAUGGAGAUAACAAUAUCCUUAUAUGACUCAUUUUAAUGCUUAAAUAAAGGUAGUCUCUUGAGCGUGUUCUAGAAAUGGUUUUGACCACCAGAGGGCUCCUGUAUUUAUGCAAUGAAACAAUUAGAAUAACGUGUUCAGAAGUAAAUAUGAAGUUUAUCAUGAAAGUUGAAUACUUGAUGUCUGUGUUUUCUUAGUGAAUCAAUCUACAAGCAUCUAUUAAUGAACCUGAUGAUAAUGACAAUGAUGAUACCUUUAUUGAGAGGUGAUGAUGUGUCCUUCACCAUACCAGUUAAAGAAAAAGCAACUUGACUCAAAGCAUCUCUUCAUGCAUGUUGGUCAACUGCAGCAGGGUGAAUCCCAUGAAGGAAAAUUGAGUGGGGACGCAUUUGUCCCCCACUUUGCAGACACUGAAGUAUGAAAUGUGUUGGUGGCCCCUAGGAAAGAUCAAAUCUUAUCAUGCCAGGUACAACACCAGAAGUGCAACAAACAUAUGAAGACAUUUGGUUUUAUAACAGUCGUAAGUAAACAUAUAGUGAUUUGAAUAUACCGUCCUGAAGACGCCUUGGUCUUUCUUGCUUUUUUGUUUUGAGUUCUACUCAAAACGAGAAUUAGAGUAUUCUCAUAUUCAAAGUAUUAGAAACAACUUGAAAGUCAAUCAUGUAGAAAGGUAGUUUUUUUUAUUUCUUUCUCAAUGCAUACAAAGGAAACAUGAUCCAGACCAAAGUCAUUGAUUAAAAGAAUAAGACAAUGUGUACAGUUACACUGGGAAGGGGUUUGUAAUAGAAAAGAUGUCUACGGUCAUAUGCUUGGAACAUGGCUGAGUCUGAUUCACACUUAGGUCUUUUGUCUUGUGCCCAGUGCUCAUCUGAAGAGGUUCGCACCAAAAUGAGCAGCGGGAAUGGGUCCAGUAGAGUCUCAUCCUCCCUGGAGAAUGCUAAGAAAUGUCCUACCUUCUCGUUCCCGGGUGAGCAGCAAGGCAGCCUCAGGGUGAAGAAAGGCCUGAGCUCACUGCAGUUUACGGGAAGGCUUCAAAUUUAUGAAAAUGGUUGUGGUCCAUUUACUUAGUCCUGGAGUGGACAUUCCCAGAUAAGUGUGUUUGAAAUUAUGAGCAAUCUACUCAAGAAGGUAUCUGGUCAAGGUUAAGAGUGAGGCAGGGUCUCUUUAAAUCUACAUUGCAUGUAUAAAAUCUGUAAAAUCCAGCCAAUGUUCAUAAUUAGUGUUAGCUUGAACUAUGUGAAAAUGCUGGUGGAGAUUUCAUAUGGUUCAACUUAAUACUUAAAUAUUUCUACUUGUUAUUUCCAUAAAAAGAUAUCAUUAUGCUGGGAGAAAAAUUGUAUUUGGACCGUACUCAAUCCCUGCUCCCCCUGUGUUAAAUGUGCUUGGGGUAAGAUGAGCCAUUUGUCUAAUGUCGUUUUACCACUUACCUUUGGAAAGGAAGCAGAAGAGUUUGAGAUACCCAACCCAGGGUGUCAAUAUAUACCAACUAUAUAGAUACUGUAUACUAUAUAUGAGACUUAGGAUAAAACGACAAAUGGUAAAAAUGGUAGGAUAUGUUGCAAAUAAUUUAUUAUUAAUAAUAGCUAAAGUGUUGAUGUGUGUGGAUUUUUAACUUAUUAAAAGUAAACCACUGCAGAUUCAAGGUUAUGCCUCUCAUACCGAUACUCCUAGCCAAUUGCACAAUAGACUUUCUUGAAUGGGAAAGAAAAGGCCACACUGGGAGCAACUGGUGCCAUGGGAGAGAGUCAUGCAUGUGGCAUUCAUAUGAAAAGGGUCAUGGAAUUAAAAUCUUGGAAACUGGGGGCACCUGGGUAGCUCGGUUGGUUGGGCG